GCCGGGCAUGGUGGUGGGUGCCUGUAAUCCCAGCUACUGGGGAGGCUGAGGUGGGAGGAUCACUUGAGUCCAGGAGGUUGAGGUUGCAGUGAGCCAAGAUCAAGUCACUGCACUCCAGCCUGAGUGACAAAGUGAGACUUCAACUCAA
ensembl:misc_RNA Metazoa_SRP Metazoan signal recognition particle RNA